GGUGACAGGAACACAACAUGGCGCGCUGAGGGCUGGGCCGGGAGGGGCCCGGAGGGGGCCCGGCCGCUCUCUCGCUCACCCCGAGACCUGCAGGCGAGCGCAGGAUGAACAAAUGCAAAUCAGUUGGUGAUAUAGGAGAGGGAACAUUUUCUGAUGUUCUGAAGACACUGAGUCAUAGGGAUGGAAAGUACUAUCCAUGUAAACACAUGAAGCAACAUUUUGAAAGAUAA
rnacentral:lncRNA from 1 species